GACGGAGGGUGCAAGCGUUGUUCGGAAUCAUUGGGCGUAAAGCGCGUGUAGGCGGUGGGAUAAGUCCGAUGUGAAAGCCUUGGGCUCAACCCAAGAAGUGCAUUGGAAACUAUCCCUCUUGAGUACGGGAGGGGGAAGUGGAAUUCCUGGUGUAGGGGUGAAAUCCGUAGAUAUCAGGAGGAACACCGGUGGCGAAGGCGCCUUCCUGGACCGAUACUGACGCUGAGGCGCGAAAGCGUGGGGAGCAAACAGG
rnacentral:rRNA from 1 species